rnacentral:rRNA from 1 species
UACGGAGGAUGCAAGCGUUAUCCGGAAUGAUUGGGCGUAAAGCGUCCGCAGGUGGCUAUGUAAGUCUGCUGUUAAAGAGUGAGGCUCAACCUCAUAAGCGCAGUGGAAACUACAUGGCUAGAGUGCGGUCGGGGCAGAGGGAAUUCCUGGUGUAGCGGUGAAAUGCGUAGAGAUCAGGAAGAACACCGGUGGCGAAAGCGCUCUGCUAGGCCGCAACUGACACUGAGGGACGAAAGCUAGGGGAGCGAAUGGG